rnacentral:lncRNA from 1 species
AUGUACCAAAAGUCAUGUCUUCUUGGCCAAGGGAUAAAAAUAGCUUGUUACGUUAUCAAAUAGAAAAAUAGACUUCGUUGUUUGGAAAGUGUUGGUUCAGGCAAAAACAAAGAAGGAACCUCUAUCUUAGGGUUAAAUUGUCUAUCUAGAUUUAUUAGUAAGGCCAUAAAAAGGAGAAGUAGUUGCAAUAGGGAACCUCUCAUAGUUGUCAAUAUGAUUUCGUGCAUUUCCCACGUACAUGAAUUAAAAUGAUGGCAACGACUUUUAUAAUUUUCGUGACAGCUAAGAUAUGUUGUAGAGAACAAGACACGUCCACAUUAGGAGUUAUGCCUCCAUUAGGUUUAGAUAGAAAUCGAAUUUUCAGUAGAUUUUGAUAGAAGUUGAUAGAAUAUAAGGUUGAAAAGUUGUAGGUCCAUAAUAUGUGAUUAUGUGGUAGCUAGAAAGAAUAUAUUCCCGAGAAAGAAUUAACCGGAAGUAGUGUACUCUAUCUACACAGACAAAGUAUCUCCAAUAAUUUGACUCUAAAGAAUGCACUCUUGAGAUGUAAUAUAUGAUAACGUUUGAUAUGAGUUAUAUGGAUAAUUGAAAGUGGGCAGUUUGGUCCCUGUCCUUCCUACUUGAUUCUAGCAUAUAUUUAUUGACACCACAUACAUAAUCUCUUGGUUAAAUUUACCGAAGUUCCAUCUAGGUCAGAAGGCUUUUAACAUAAGUUCCAGAAAUGGCAAUUCUGAGAUUUUUGUGUGUGUUCAUGCUCUUAUGGUAGCUUGGACGAUAGUGCAAUCUUCUGGUUGUUGAUUAUGGAGUUAUGAUAUAAGUCAACUUCUCCUAAACAUUUCAGGUGAUACCUUUUUCACAAUGGAUUGAAGAAAUAAAGACUCCAAAUGCUAUUUUGGCGAAGCACCAAGUAUCUUCAAGGUGGGAGGCUCUUUCCUAUAUGAAAGAUGCAGGCUAAAAAGAAAGUAAUGGGAAGGAUUUUUGAGAGCUAGCCAACCCAACGGUUUGAAGACAGCAAGUUGUAAAUUAUCUUAUUUUAUACAAUGAUUUUCUAUUUUUUAAGAGGAGUGUAAGAUAAUGUUUAUUUGAUGGGCAAUAUGUAAAUAAAAAUUUUUCUUCGAUUUAUUACAACAAUGUGUUUUGUCUAUUUGGUAUGGAUUAAUAAAAUUAUAUCAAAGUCAUGUUGGCC